AGGCCGCUGGUAUGGGAGUCCGACUAAGCCAUGCGAGUCGAGAGGGUUCGGCCCUCGGCGCACUGCUCAGUAACACGUGGGUAAUCUACCCUCGGGUGGGGGAUAACCUCGGGAAACUGAGGAUAAUACCCCAUAGUCCUAGGACGCUGGAAUGCCCCCAGGACGAAAGCUCCGGCGCCCGAGGAUGAGCCUGCGGCCUAUCAGGUUGUAGUUGGGGUAACGGCCCAACUAGCCGACGACGGGUACGGGCCUUGGGAGAGGGAGCCCGGAGAUGGACUCUGAGACACGAGUCCAGGCCCUACGGGGCGCAGCAGGCGCGAAACCUACGCAAUGCGCGAAAGCGCGACGUGGGGACUCCCAGUGCUCAUGGGCGACAUGCCUGUGGGCUUUUCCCAAGUCUAAAAAGCUUGGGGAAUAAGGGCUGGGUAAGACCGGUGCCAGCCGCCGCGGUAAUACCGGCGGCCCGAGUGGCGGCCACUAUUAUUGGGUCUAAAGCGUCCGUAGCCGGCCAGGUAAAUCCUUGGGUAAAUCGAACGGCUUAACCGUUCGACCCCCUGGGAGACUGCCUGGCUUGAGACCGGGAGAGGCCGGAGGUACUCUAGGGGUAGGGGUGAAAUCCUGUAAUCCCUAGGGGACCACCUGUGGCGAAGGCGUCCGGCUUGAACGGGUCUGACGGUGAGGGACGAAGGCCAGGGGCGCAAACCGGAUUAGAUACCCGGGUAGUCCUGGCUGUAAACGCUGCGGGCUUGGUGUUGGGGGUCCUUCGGGGCACCCAGUGCCGUAGAGAAGUUGUUAAGCCCGCCACCUGGGGAGUACGCCGCAAGGCUGAAACUUAAAGGAAUUGGCGGGGGAGCACUGCAACGGGAGGAGCGUGCGGUUUAAUUGGAUUCAACGCCGGACAACUCACCAGGGGCGACCACCGUAUGAGGCUCAGCCUGACGAGCUUAGCCGAUAGGUGGAGAGGUGGUGCAUGGCCGUCGUCAGUUCGUACCGUAGGGCGUUCUCUUAAGUGAGAUAACGAACGAGACCCCCGCCCCUAUUUGCUACCUGUCCCUCCGGGGACAGGGCACAAUAGGGGGACCGCCGCUGCUAAAGCGGAGGAAGGUGGGGUCAACGGUAGGUCAGUAUGCCCCGAAUCCCCUGGGCUACACGCGCGCUACAAAGGGCAGGACAAAGGGUUCCGACACCGAAAGGUGAAGGUAAUCCCGAAACCUGUCCGUAGUUCGGAUUGAGGGCUGUAACCCGCCCUCAUGAAGGUGGAUUCCGUAGUAAUCGCGGGUCAACAUCCCGCGGUGAAUAUGCCCCUGCUCCUUGCACACACCGCCCGUCAAACCAUCCGAGUUGGGCUGAGGCGAGGGCACUCCCAUAGGGGUGCUCAAACCUCGGUUSGGCGAGGAGGGUU
rnacentral:rRNA from 1 species